CGAACGGGUGAGUAGCACGUGGGCAACCUACCCUUCUGUGGGGGACAACUCCGGGAAACCGGGGCUAAUACCGCAUUCGGUCACCGUUCGCAUGGACGGUGCAGAAAGCAGCAAUGCGCAGGAGGAUGGGCCCGCGGCCUAUCAGCUAGUUUGUGGGGUGAUGGCCUACCAAGGCGACGACGGGUAGCCGGCCUGAGAGGGCGACCGGCCACACUGGGACUGAGACACGGCCCAG
rnacentral:rRNA from 1 species